CCCGGGGCUCGCGGCCCCCCGGGCCUGUGGCUCGCCGCUGUCUUUUCUGCCGUUUUCCACUAGGUGGAGCUGCAACAAUAUUUUUCCCGUCUUUAUGCUAAGGAGGAAAUAGUUACGAACUAUUUGAAAAGCAAUGUUCGUCUUAACAAUUCAAAUGUAUUCCUGCUAAUUUGUAUUUGAUAAAGGUUCAGAAGUCUUUUGUUGUACGUCUAGUUAGUCUGCAUGUUACGUUUACAGCCUUUGCAAAUUUUCCAUUUGAUUGUGAGUCUUACUGUGAAUUUUUAUGCAGCUGUAUACCUUCACUUAUUUGUUUAUAUGUGUGUAUGUGUGUGUAUUGCUGUGUUUAUAGGUGCGUGUAUAUAAUAGGCAGGAAGAGAAAGCUGUAACUUCCCUGUUGCUAUACUCAUGAGUGGAUUGAAGUGGUAAAGCACAGAGCAACAUCUACUAUGUACAUAGUGACAAUACACUGUUCAGAGACAGGUGGAGAUUAAUGAUCCGAUUGUCUUCUAUGUAAAACCCGUCAGGCAAAGUUGCGGAACUGCUGCAGAUCAUACUGAAGAGGGAAGUACAGAAGAACUUCUACAGUGACUUUUUAUCAACAGGAGAGUGCCUCUCUCUCCUUUUCUUCUUUUACUUUAAAAUAUCCUGUAAGUUUCAGAAAAAUAAAGAAAAAAAGCAAAAAAAAAACUAGUGUAGGAUUUUAGAGGUUUUUAGAGCCUUUUGCCUGCAGGAUAACAGCUGAAAGAACCACAGAAAACUGAGAAAAAGUUCAGAAGAGCUACCUGAGCCCCCCAAAAUGACUGGUCAUGAAGAAAUCAUGAAACUGAGACUCUGAUGGUGUGAUUAAGUAAACUGCUAGGUUAAGCCACACGAGUGGAUUCAGGCUGCCAUUUAUGCAACAGAGCCCUUGGAAUAGCAUCUGUCCAAUUACUGGUGGUUAGAUUUGUAUUACCUGAUGUAAUUAAAAUGGAAGGAUCUUUUAGGGCUUCUUGCUGAAGACACGAGCCACAGAGGCAGCCCCACGAGGGUGGGAAGCUGGGGGUCAGUGGUGAGAGGCUCUGCGCAGCAGUCGACCAUCAUUACAGCUGUGCAUUAUGGCUGUGCUUCUGGAAAGGUUUGGGGAAAUCUCCUGCCAGGAGAUUGGCAGGAAAAAGGUGCGCCUGGGAAAGAGUGAGCUACAUAUUAUUUCACUUUAGGUCCUGUAAAAGCUAAGUCACCACUCUUUGAAGACUGGUGACUGUAUUUAUGUAAGUGGUGUAAUACAGGGAGACCUGUAGGCAAUUAGCCUGUGUUGGUUGAAUAAUCAAAGCUGUUGCAGGUUUGAGAGCUAGUGAAAACAUUUGUGAGGAAAGAAAGUAUCUAAACUUUUUAGAGCCAUUUAAUCUAAUUUUGGCUGAAUGUGGUAACCUGAC